CCUACGGGAGGCAGCAGUAGGGAAUCUUCCACAAUGGGCGAAAGCCUGAUGGAGCAACGCCGCGUGGGUGAAGAAGGUCUUCGGAUCGUAAAACCCUGUUGUUAGAGAAGAAAGUGCGUGAGAGUAACUGUUCACGUUUCGACGGUAUCUAACCAGAAAGCCACGGCUAACUACGUGCCAGCAGCCGCGGGAAUACGUAGGUGGCAAGCGUUAUCCGGAUUUAUUGGGCGUAAAGGGAACGCAGGCGGUCUUUUAAGGCUGAUGUGAAAGCCUUCGGCUUAACCGGAGUAGUGCAUUGGAAACUGGGAGGCUUGAGUGCAGAAGAGGAGAGUGGAACUCCAUGUGUAGCGGUGAAAUGCGUAGAUAUAUGGAAGAACACCAGUGGCGAAAGCGGCUCUCUGGUCUGUAACUGACGCUGAGGUUCGAAAGCGUGGGUAGCAAACAGGAUUAGAUACCCUAGUAGUC
rnacentral:rRNA from 1 species